rnacentral:rRNA from 1 species
CACGUAGGGACCAAGCGUUGUCCGGAUUCAUUGGGCGUAAAGAGCUCGUAGGCGGUUCGAUAAGUCGGGUGUGAAACCUCCAGGCUCAACCUGGAGACGCCACCCGAUACUGUCGUGACUAGAGUCCAGUAGGGGAGCGUGGAAUUCCUGGUGUAGCGGUGAAAUGCGCAGAUAUCAGGAGGAACACCAGCGGCGAAGGCGGCGCUCUGGGCUGGAACUGACGCUGAGGAGCGAAAGCGUGGAGAGCGAACAGG